ACCAGUCUUGGUAGGUUGAGGCUGAAUAAUUGCAGAGAACUUGAGAGUCUUCCAAGCAGCAUUUCUCACAUGAAAUCUCUUAAAUACCUUGAUGUUUCUGGAUGCUCAAAGCUUGAAAAGUUUCCAGAAAUUUUGGAGGUUAGGAAGAAGCUAUCUGAGCUUUGUUUGGGUGGCACUGCAAUUAAGGAGCUGCCUGCUUCUAUUUUAAAUCUCAUCAGUCUUGUUAGGUUGAGGCUGAAUAAUUGCAGAGAACUUGAGAGUCUUCCAAGCAGCAUUUCUCACAUGAAAUCUCUUAAAUACCUUGAUGUUUCUGGAUGCUCAAAGAUUGAGAAGUUUCCAGAAAUUUUGGAGGUUAGGAAGGAGCUAUCUGAUCUUUGUUUGGGUGGCACUGCAAUUAAGGAGCUGCCUGCUUCUAUUUUAAAUCUCACCAGUCUUGUUACUUUGAAUUUGAAUGAUUGCAGAGAACUUGAGAGUCUUCCAAGCAGCAUUUCUCACAUGAAAUCUCUUGAGUACCUUGAUGUUUCUGGAUGCUCAAAGAUUGAGAAGUUUCCAGAAAUUUUGGAGGUUAGGAACGUGCUAUCUAAGCUUUGUUUGGGUGGCACUGCAAUUAAGGAGCUGCCUGCUUCUAUUUUAAAUCUCACCAGUCUUGUUACUUUGAAUUUGAAUGAUUGCAGAGAACUUGAGAGUCUUCCAAGCUGCAUUUCUCACAUGAAAUCUCUUGAAUACCUUGAUGUUUCUGGAUGCUCAAAGCUUGAGAAGUUUCCAGAAAAUUUGGAGGUUAUGAAUGAGCUAUCUGAGCUUUGUUUGGGUGGCACUGCAAUUAAGGAGCUGCCUGCUUCUAUUUUAAAUCUCACCAGUCUUGUUACUUUGAAGUUGAAUGAUUGCGGAGAACUUGAGAGUCUUCCAAGCAUCAUUUCUCACAUGAAAUCUCUUAAAUACCUUGAUGUUUCUGGAUGCUCAAAGCUUGAGAAGUUUCCAGAAAUUUUGGAGGUUAGGAAGGAGCUAUCUAAGCUUUGUUUGGGUGGCACUGCAAUUAAGAAGCUGCCUGCUUCUAUUUUAAAUCUCACCAGUCUUGAUACUUUGAAACUGAAUGAUUGCAGAGAACUUGAGAGUCUUCCAAGCAGCAUUUCUCACAUGAAAUCUCUUAAAUAC
rnacentral:lncRNA from 1 species